UGUGUGCUGAAUUCAUAGGCACAUAAGGCGAACCUGGGGAACUGAAACAUCUAAGUACCCAGAGGAAAAGAAAUCAACCGAGAUUCCGUCAGUAGUGGCGAGCGAAAGCGGAACAGCCCAGUUACUAAAUCAUUAUUGGCUUUAGCAGAAUGUUCUGGAAAGUUCAGCUAUAGUGGGUGAUAGCCCCGUAUGUAAAAGGGCUAAUAAUGUGUGUAACGAUGAGUAGGUCGGGACACGUGAAAUCUUGACUGAAUAUGGGGGGACCAUCCUCCAAGGCUAAAUACUCCUUACUGACCGAUAGCGAACUAGUACCGUGAGGGAAAGGUGAAAAGAACCCCGGCAAGGGGAGUGAAAUAGAACCUGAAACCGUAUGCGUACAAGCAGUCAAAG
rnacentral:rRNA from 2 species